AUUGAACGCUGGCGGCAGGCCUAACACAUGCAAGUCGAGCGAGCGGCGGACGGGUGAGUAAUGUCUGGGGAUCUGCCUGAUGGCGGGGGAUAACUACUGGAAACGGUAGCUAAUACCGCAUACCCUCAGAUGCACCCAUAUGGGAUUAGCUUGUAGGUGAGGUAACGGCUCACCUAGGCGACGAUCCCUAGCUGGUCUGCGAGGAGGACCAGCCACCCUGUGACUGAGACACGGUCCAGAAUCCUAAGGGAGGCAGCAGUGGGGAAUAGUGCACAAUGGGCGCAAGCCUGAUGCAGCCAUGCCGCGUGUAUGAAGAAGGCCUUCGGGUUGUAAAGUACUUUCAGUCGGGAGGCGUUACCGACAGAAGAAGCACCGGCUAACUCCGUGCCAGCAGCCGCGGUAAUUC
rnacentral:rRNA from 1 species